rnacentral:rRNA from 1 species
AACGUAGGAGACAUACGUUAUCCGGAUUUACUGGGCGUAAAGGGCGCGUAGGCGGCCACCGCAAGUCGGUUGUGAAAUCUCUGGGCUUAACCCAGAAAGGUCAACCGAUACUGCGGGGCUAGAGUGCAGAAGGGGCAACUGGAAUUCUCGGUGUAGCGGUGAAAUGCGUAGAUAUCGAGAGGAACACCUGCGGCGAAGGCGGGUUGCUGGGCUGACACUGACGCUGAAGCGCGAAAGCUAGGGGAGCGAACGGG